rnacentral:rRNA from 1 species
CCUACGGGUGGCUGCAGUGGGGAAUAUUGGACAAUGGGCGAAAGUCUGAUCCAGCCAUGCCGCGUGUGUGAAGAAGGCCUUCGGGUUGUAAAGCACUUUCAGUGGGGAAGAAAGCCUUGGGGCUAAUACCCUCGAGGAAGGACAUCACCCACAGAAGAAGCACCGGCUAACUCCGUGCCAGCAGCCGCGGUAAUACGGAGGGUGCGAGCGUUAAUCGGAAUUACUGGGCGUAAAGCGCGCGUAGGCGGUCUGAUAAGCCGGUUGUGAAAGCCCCGGGCUCAACCUGGGAACGGCAUCCGGAACUGUCAGGCUAGAGUGCAGGAGAGGAAGGUAGAAUUCCCGGUGUAGCGGUGAAAUGCGUAGAGAUCGGGAGGAAUACCAGUGGCGAAGGCGGCCUUCUGGACUGACACUGACGCUGAGGUGCGAAAGCGUGGGUAGCAAACAGGAUUAGAUACCCGGGUAGUC